rnacentral:tRNA from 1 species
GGCGCUGUGGUGCAGCAGUUAACACCCUGGCCUGAAGCGCCGGCAUCCCAUAUGGACUCGGGUUCAAGUCCCGGCUGCUCCA